rnacentral:rRNA from 1 species
AACCUCAAAGCUAGCCCCCAACUACAAACAACAACCAACUAUAAAUACCCCCUUAUAAACUACAAGAAAGACAACCAAACCAUUUUCCCCCCUUAGUAUGGGCGACAGAAAAGGGACGACGGAGCAAUAGAGAAAGUACCGCAAGGGAAAGCUGAAAGAGAAGUGAAAUAACUCCACAAAGUAUAUAGAAGCAGAGACACAACCUCGUACCUUUUGCAUCAUGAUUUAGCCAGAACCCCUUAAGCAAAGAGCCCUUUGGUUUAAGGUCUCUGUGGCAAAAGACUGGGAAGAUCUCCGAGUAGCGGUGACAGACCUACCGAACUUGGUUAUAGCUGGUUGUCUGACAGAUGAAUAGAAGUUCAGCCCCAAGGAUUCUCAACUCAACCCCGUGAUUACCCAUCCAGACACUUAAAGAAGCCCUGGGAGUUAAUCAAAGGAGGUACAGCUCCUUUGAUAAAAGAUACAACUUUACCAGGUGGAUAAAGGUCAUAAUACCAUAAGGCAAAGUGUCCAGGUGGGCCUAAAAGCAGCCAACCCUAAAGAAAGCGUUAAAGCUCGAACACCCCCCAUGCCCAUUAUACAGAAAAACACCCCUAAUCCCCUACAAACAUCAGACCGUCCCAUACCCCCUAUGGGAGCGACCCUGCUAAUAUGAGUAACAAGAAAUGCAAGAAUUUCUCCAAGCACCUGUGUAACCCGGAACGAACUCGCACCGGACAUUAACGGGCCCAUCCAAAGAGGGUAAUGAACAACAAACCAAACAACCAGAAAAUCACCCAAUUAAACACCGUUAACCCCACACUGGCGUGCCCAAAAGGAAAAACUAAAAGAGAAAGAAGGAACUCGGCAAAACAUCUCACCUAAGCCUCGCCUGUUUACCAAAAACAUCGCCUCUUGCAAAAUCAAAGAAUAAGAGGUCCCGCCUGCCCUGUGACCCUGGGUUCAACGGCCGCGGUAUUUUGACCGUGCGAAGGUAGCGCAAUCACUUGUCUUUUAAAUGAAGACCUGUAUGAAUGGCAUAACGAGGGCUUAACUGUCUCCUUUCUCAAGUUAAUGAAAUUGAUCUCCCCGUGCAGAAGCGGGGAUGCGCCUAUAAGACGAGAAGACCCUAUGGAGCUUUAGAUAUAAAGUAAAUUGUGUUAAAACCCCUUUGAUAAAAGGAUCAAACAAAUCAAACCUUACUCAAGUAUCUUUGGUUGGGGCGACCACGGGGAAAACCUAACCCCCGCGUGGACUGAGGGCACACCUCCCUUACAACCACGAAUUUCCAUUCUAAGUAACAGAACUUCUGACCAGAUAGAUCCGGCACAUGCCGAUCAACGGACCGAGUUACCCUAGGGAUAACAGCGCAAUCCCCUUCUAGAGCCCCUAUCGACAAGGGGGUUUACGACCUCGAUGUUGGAUCAGGACAUCCUAAUGGUGCAGCCGCUAUUAAGGGUUUGUUUGUUCAGCAAUUAAAGUCCUACGUGAUCUGAGUUCAGACCGGAGUAAUCCAGGUCAGUUUCUAUCUAUAGAGUACUCUCUUCUAGUACGAAAGGACCGAGAAGAGGAGGCCCAUACUAAAGGUACGCCUCCCCCCAACCCGCUGAAGGCAACUAAAACGGGCAAAGGGGUACACAAUAUUCCUUGCCAAAGAUAAUGGUAU